rnacentral:misc_RNA from 1 species
AACGCACAUUGCGCCUCCUGGUAUUCCGGGAGGCAUGCCUGUUCGAGCGUCAUCAAAAACCUCAGUCUCUGAUUUAUCAUUGAUUGGUCUUGCAUCGGAUGCCCAUGGCGUCCCCUGCGAAAUCCAAUGGCGAAGAGCCACGCAGCCAAAGCGUAGUAUAAUAAACCUCGUAAUGGAUGUGUGUGUGCUUCUGCCGUAACCCCCAAAUUCUUAGUUUUUGACCUCGGAUCAGGUAGGGAUACCCGCUGAACUUAA